rnacentral:rRNA from 1 species
UACGGGGGGGGGCAAGCGUUGUUCGGAAUUACUGGGCGUAAAGGGCUCGUAGGCGGCCAACUAAGUCGGAUGUGAAAUCCCCAGGCUUAACCUGGGAACUGCAUCCGAUACUGGAUGGCUUGAAUUCGGGAGAGGGAUGCAGAAUUCCAGGUGUAGCGGUGAAAUGCGUAGAUAUCUGGAGGAAUACCGGUGGCGAAGGCGGCAUCCUGGACCGACAUUGACGCUGAGGCGCGAAAGCCAGGGGAGCAAACGGG